rnacentral:SRP_RNA from 1 species
GCCAGGCGUGGCGGCGGAUGCCUGUAAUCCCAGCUACUCGGGAGGCUGAGGCAGAAGAAUUGCUUGAACCCAGGAGGUGGAGGUUGCAGUAGGCCGAGAUCACGCCACUGCCCUCCAGCCUGGGCAACAGAGCAAGACUCUGUCUCAA